rnacentral:SRP_RNA from 1 species
UGGUGUGUACCUGUGGUAUACACCCGUAGUCCCAGCUUCUUGGAAGAUUGAGGUGAGAGGAUCGCUUGAGCCUGGGAGUUCUGGGCUGUAGUGUGCUAUGACAAUUGGGUGUCCUCAACUGUUUCAACAUCAACAUGGUAAUCUUCUAGAAGCAGGGGACCACUAGGUUGCCUGAGGAGGGGUGAACCAGCCCAGGUCGGUAAUGGGACAGGCAAAACUUUUGUGUUAUUGAGUAGUGGGAUCAUGUGUAAGAUUAGACACUGCACCCCAGCCUGGUAGCAUGGCAAGAUCCUAUCUUU